UGGGGAAUCUUCCGCAAUGGACGAAAGUCUGACGGAGCAACGCCGCGUGAGUGAUGAAGGCCUUCGGGUUGUAAAACUCUGUUGUCAGGGACGAACGUGCCGAUCUACAAUACAUUUCGGCAGUGACGGUACCUGACGAGGAAGCCACGGCUAACUACGUGCCAGCAGCCGCGGUAAUACGUAGGUGGCAAGCGUUGUCCGGAAUUAUUGGGCGUAAAGGGCAUGUAGGCGGGCUUUUAAGUCCGACGUGAAAAUGCGGGGCUUAACCCCGUAUGGCGUUGGAUACUGGAAGUCUUGAGUGCAGGAGAGGAAAGGGGAAUUCCCAGUGUAGCGGUGAAAUGCGUAGAUAUUGGGAGGAACACCAGUGGCGAAGGCGCCUUUCUGGACUGUGUCUGACGCUGAGAUGCGAAAGCCAGGGUAGCAAACGGG
rnacentral:rRNA from 1 species